GGGGGGCUGGCGCAACGGUAGCGCGUCAGAUUCCAGAAAUCGGAAUAUCCUGAAGGUUACCGGUUCAAAUCCGGUGUCCCUCA
rnacentral:tRNA from 1 species